UACGUAGGUGGCAAGCGUUGUCCGGAUUUACUGGGCGUAAAGAGCGCGCAGGCGGUUGAUUAAGUCGAAUGUGAAAGCCCCCGGCUCAACUGGGGAGGGUCAUUCGAUACUGAUUGACUUGAAGGCAGGAGAGAGAAGUGGAAUUCCCGGUGUAGCGGUGAAAUGCGCAGAUAUCGGGAAGAACACCUAUGGCGAAGGCAGCUCUCUGGGACGGUACUGACGCUGAGACGCGAAAGCGUGGGGAGCGAACAGG
rnacentral:rRNA from 1 species